CAAGAGCGUAUAUUAAAGUUGCUGCGGUUAAAAAGCUCGUAGUUGGAUUUCAGUCUAGGAAGGUUAACUCGCCGAAAGGUUGUACGUUGAUUUUCCUCAGACUUCGUAAGAAGCUCGUGCUGCACUUAACUGUGUGGUACGAUGUUCUGACCUUUUACCUUGAGGAAAGUAGAGUGUUUCAGGCAGGCUACCCAGCUUGAAUACAUUAGCAUGGAAUAAUGAAAUGGAUCUCGGUUCGAUUUCGUUGGUUCUAGAGCUGAGGUGAUGAUCAAUAGGAACAGGCGAAGGUAUUCGUACUUGAGAGUGAGGAGUGAAAUCCGAUGAUCUCUUAAAGACGAUCCGAGGCGAAAGCAUUUGUCAAGGAUGUUUUCAUUGA
rnacentral:rRNA from 1 species